AUUGAACGCUGGCGGCAGGCCUAACACAUGCAAGUCGAGCGGAUGAAGGGAGCUUGCUCCUGGAUUCAGCGGCGGACGGGUGAGUAAUGCCUAGGAAUCUGCCUGGUAGUGGGGGAUAACGUCCGGAAACGGGCGCUAAUACCGCAUACGUCCUGAGGGAGAAAGUGGGGGAUCUUCGGACCUCACGCUAUCAGAUGAGCCUAGGUCGGAUUAGCUAGUUGGUGGGGUAAAGGCCUACCAAGGCGACGAUCCGUAACUGGUCUGAGAGGAUGAUCAGUCACACUGGAACUGAGACACGGUCCAGACUACUACGGGAGGCAGCAGUGGGGAAUAUUGGACAAUGGGCGAAAGCCUGAUCCAGCCAUGCCGCGUGUGUGAAGAAGGUCUUCGGAUUGUAAAGCACUUUAAGUUGGGAGGAAGGGCAGUAAGUUAAUACCUUGCUGUUUUGACGUUAUCAACAGAAUAAGCACCGGCUAACUUCGUG
rnacentral:rRNA from 1 species